CUACGGGAGGCAGCAGUGAGGAAUUUUGCGCAAUGGGCGAAAGCCUGACGCAGCAACGCCGCGUGAGUGAUGAAGGCUUUCGGGUCGUAAAGCUCUGUCAAGUGGGAAGAACCUAUAUAAUGCCAAUACCAUUAUAUACUGACGGUACCACUGAAGGAAGCACCGGCUAACUCCGUGCCAGCAGCCGCGGUAAUACGGGGGGUGCAAGCGUUAUUCGGAAUCAUUGGGCGUAAAGGGCACGUAGGCGGCCUGGUAAGUCAGAUGUGAAAGCCCGGGGCUUAACCCCGGAAGUGCAUUUGAUACUGUCAGGCUUGAGUAUGGGAGAGGGAAGUGGAAUUCCUGGUGUAGAGGUGAAAUUCGUAGAUAUCAGGAGGAACACCGGUGGCGAAGGCGACUUCCUGGACCAAUACUGACGCUGAGGUGCGAAGGCGUGGGUAGCAAACAGGAUUAGAUACCCUGGUAGUCCACGCAGUAAACGUUGUUCACUAGGUGUAGCGGGUAUUGACCCCUGCUGUGCCGCAGUUAACGCAUUAAGUGUUCCGCCUGGGGAGUACGGCCGCAAGCUAAAACUCAAAGGAAUUGACGG
rnacentral:rRNA from 1 species